rnacentral:tRNA from 1 species
GCCUUCCUAGCUCAGUUGGUAGAGCGUUAGACUUUUAAUCUAACGGUCAGAAAUUUGAGCCCCCUGGAGGGCU